AAUAAGUGCAGUUUUACACUAUUCAUCUCCAACGUUUGAUCGUUUGUCUUAUUUGAAUUUUUUUUAUGAUUACUAUUUUUAUUGCUAUUAGAUAAUAAAACAUGAAUAAUACUUUAUGUGUGACUAUUUUUUUAAAAAAAUUUCAUAAAUUUUUCAAAUAAGACGAACGGUCAAAUGUUGAAAACAGAUUUCCAUGACCGCACUUAUU
rfam:Oryza sativa Japonica Group DNA, chromosome 9, cultivar: Nipponbare, complete sequence.